GAUGAACGCUGGCGGCGUGCUUAACACAUGCAAGUCGAACGGUGAAGCAGAGCUUGCUCUGUGGAUCAGUGGCGAACGGGUGAGUAACACGUGAGCAACCUGCCCCUGACUCUGGGAUAAGCGCUGGAAACGGCGUCUAAUACCGGAUAUGAGCUGCGAUCGCAGGGGCAGCAGUUGGAAAGAUUUUUCGGUCUAGGAUGGGCUCACGGCCUAUCAGCUUGUUGGUGAGGUAAUGGCUCACCAAGGCGUCGACGGGUAGCCGGCCUGAGAGGGUGACCGGCCACACUGGGACUGAGACACGGCCCAGACUCCUACGGGAGGCAGCAGUGGGGAAUAUUGCACAAUGGGCGAAAGCCUGAUGCAGCAACGCCGCGUGAGGGAUGACGGCCUUCGGGUUGUAAACCUCUUUUAGCAGGGAAGAAGCGAAAGUGACGGUACCUGCAGAAAAAGCGCCGGCUAACUACGUGCCAGCAGCCGCGGUAAGAC
rnacentral:rRNA from 1 species